UUUGGCUGGGAACCUGCAAGAAACUGACCCUGUUUCUUUUUCCCACAGGAGCACAAAAGGCAGUGAAGGAGAAACCCAAGAAAGGGAAAAAGGAAAAACCACCCAAACCACCCAAACCAUCCAAGAAGCCUAAAGAGAAACCUCCCAAGAGCCCCAAGAAGGAGAAGCCCCCGAAGCCUACCAAAAAGCCGAAGGAGAAGCGUCCAAAAGCUACAAAGAAGCCGAAGGAGAAGUCCCCUGGAGGCACCAAGAAACCGUCAGGGGGAAAGAGAACAGAGAGGCCUCCCCCACCNGUCCAGCCCUAUGAAGAAGAGGAUGGGUACCACUUCCCAGAGAGCCCGCAGAGCCCACCUCCAGAGACCUUCGGGGCUCCUGACGCUCCGUAUGGAAGGGAGGACGAGGAAUCCCGUGCAAACGAAGAAGGAGGAGAGGCUCUGUUCCCAGAAGAGCCAAUGGAGCCACGAUGGGACNAGAAACAGGAUCCAAACCAACAUCACACUGAUGCCUUUGAACCUCCAACUGACCCACGGGAGCCAGGAAGAGAGGAUGGAAGGCAUGAAACCCAGCCAGAUUCCACCGAAGAGCAGGAGCCACCAACUCUGGAUUACAAUGAACAGAUUGAGCGCGAAGAUUACGAGGACUUUGACUACAUCAGGCGGCAGCACAGGCCCAGCAAACCACCGAAACGGAGGAAACCUGAGAGACCCAUCUUGGAGACAGAGGAGCGGCCAAGUAUGCAGCUUGUUUCCUUUGGCUCGCUUGGACUUUGCCAGGAUGUUGGAAACUAGAGGCAGAUUAGAAGGGGGAGGGAGGGGAACGGAAAGGCAUGAAAAAGUACUCCGAGACGUUGGAAGCAGAAGGAGACAGAAUGCGUUGAAACUUCAAGCAAGGGCAUCCCUUGCUCCUGAGAGUGCCAGAGGCCCACCUCCUUUCAAGUCUCUACUCUUCCAAAUUUGGUGCCUAGAAACUAGAUUUUUCUGGAAGGGUAAUGUUGGAAGCUGCUUUGUUCUCAGUUGGCCAGUUUGGGUCAGCAGAGCCUUUGCAGACUGACAGCUUAUCGCUAAGGAAUUUAGGCAAGGAUCUCUUCCUUUCUCACCUGGAGAUGAUGAGGUCUGAACCCAGAACCUUUGGAUGCAAAGCAAAUCCUCUACCACCAAUCUCUGCAGAGGAGGAGGGAGGAGAACAAAAAGGCAUGAAAAAACACUCCAAGAUAUUUUAACAUACUUGGGGAUUGCAACUCGGAGCAGAAGAUCUGAGAGGCAGGACACCUUUGUGCAGGGACGUGGCCGCUGGGUGCAGUUGCCUCCAGNAUGAACUUCCAUCAGCCCGGCGACUCUUUGCCUGUUUGUCAUCCCAGCCGUCCCUCCGGUUAGGCUUCUUCUUCUUUUACUGUGAAACGCUCUCCAGCUUUGCUGGAAGUUGGCCGGCUUAGAAUCCGCACAUGCUCAUUUGAAUAAGGCGGAGACAGGACGGCAGACGUUGCCUGUGGUGCUUUACACUGGAAUGUCUGGCCUUUGGAGAACUGUGGGAGCAUGUUUCUUCCAUCUUUUGCGCUCUCUGUUUUGCACUGUCCCAGAACAUGCUGUUUUAUGUCCGUACUGAAUCUGUCUGAUCUGGGGGUUUGCUUUGGAGCACUUCAAGUCAUCUAGUGUUUAAAAGUUCAGUGCUUCCCAGGCCCCUAGGAGGGGGCUUGGGCGGAGCAUUCACCGAUGCAUAUAUUGUGCCUGAGAGCUAAGUGGGCAAUCCCCA
ensembl:lncRNA